UGGGGAAUUUCUGGUGUAGCGGUGAAAUGCGUAGAGAUCAGAAGGAACACCAAUGGCGAAGGCAACAUUCUGGACCAAUACUGACACUGAGGGACGAAAGCGUGGGGAUCAAACAGGAUUAGAUACCCUGGUAGUCCACGCUGUAAACGAUGAGUACUAGCUGUUGGAUUCGGUGUAAAGGAUCUAGUGGCGUAGCUAACGCGUUAAGUACUCCGCCUGGGGACUACGGCCGCAAGGCUAAAACUCAAAGGAAUUGACGGGGACCCGCACAAGCGGUGGAGCAUGUGGUUUAAUUCGAUGCAACGCGAAGAACCUUACCUGGUCUUGACAUCCUGCGAACUUUCUAGAGAUAGAUUGGUGCCUUCGGGAACGCAGUGACAGGUGCUGCACGGCUGUCGUCAGCUCGUGUUGUGAAAUGUUGGGUUAAGUCCCGCAACGAGCGCAACCCCUAUUGAUAGUUACCAUCAUUAAGUUGGGUACUCUAUUGAGACUGCCGCUGACAAGGCGGAGGAAGGUGGGGACGACGUCAAGUCAUCAUGGCCCUUACGACCAGGGCUACACACGUGCUACAAUGGGUAUUACAGAGGGCAGCGAAGUAGCGAUAUGGAGCGAAACUCAGAAAGGUACUCUUAGUCCGGAUUGCAGUCUGCAACUCGACUGCAUGAAGUCGGAAUCGCUAGUAAUCGCAGGUGGGAAUACUGCGGUGAAUACGUUCCCGGGUCUUGUA
rnacentral:rRNA from 1 species